CUGACCCAGCGACGCCGCGUGGGGGAGAAGGCCUUCGGGUCGUAAACCCCUUUUGCCGGGGAAGAAGCUCUGACGGUACCCGGCGAAUAAGCCACGGCUAACUACGUGCCAGCAGCCGCGGUAAUA
rnacentral:rRNA from 1 species